AAUAGUAAGAAAAUGUGGCAUAUGAACAAGAAAACAAUCUUUCCACCACAUGUUCAUUCACAAACUAAUAAUUCUCUAUUUAUCUUUGGGCUCUGCUUCCAUUUCCAUCUAAGAUGCAUCUCCAUCACUUUAUCUCACUAAUACAUAUUUUCCUACGGACCUCAAAUAUACAUACAAGAAUCACACGACAAGGUUGCAUCAUUGUCAUUCCAUCUCUUCUUUCACUUCGGCUCUUUUGGUCAUUGCAACACCAGCGUGCGCCGUCUUCACACUGCUCCAAAUCUGCCCAUGUUUCCAUCCGGCUCCAAAUACGCCCAUUUUUUUCUCUAAGUCAGUCAUGUCGUAACAAAUUUGUACUUUCAGCCUCAAAAUUUCAUUGUUUGGAAUGAGGAGGGAUUUCAGAGUUCACUUCUCUAAAAGAGAAUGCAACACAUAUUGAUACAGAUUAGUGAUGAACAAAAAAUUGCUUCCAUAGAUGUAAAUUACUUCUGUAUGAAAAUAUAUUUUGUUUCAAAUGUUGAUACUCCUUCCUUUUGGAACUUUAGUUUCCUUCAUAUGGUUUUUUCACUUCCUUUUUUUGGAUGGUAACUGUUUCGGGUCAAAUUACUUCUAUGGCAACUAAAUAUUGUUUCCAUAUGGUUAAAUUUUGUUUGUUUGGACUGACCAUAGAAAAUGAUUCCUUGAAUUGGCAAUCGCUUCAAUGUAGUACUCCCUCCGUCCCGCAAUAAGUGACUCAAAAAUGACUCAACUUUGUACUCCUUCCUUCAAUUGGAGUAUAUGUUUUCUUUUCUCAUAGGAAAGGAGAGUGCUUUAAUUUUUUACAGAACAAAAUUGAGAUUGAUUUAUUCUUUAGUUAAAAUUGGUGCCACGAAUAUGUUUCAUGGAAUCUGAGAAUUGUUCCAAACGUAUCGAUAAAGUACUUCCAAUAUAGUAAAAAUUGGCAGUCUGAGGAUUUUGCAUUGAACCUCUUUUAAAAUGGUGAUGAAAGACCACACAUGUUGAAGAUAAGUUUGGCCUUAAUCUAAUCGAGAAACAACUGUUUUUCAUACCAGACAAGCAACUACUCCUCUCUGACUCAAUGUGCCACACCAUUCACUCACCGCUGUAAUCCAUACACAUGUUCAGUACCUUUUGAAUUUUAUGCUCCCGCUUCUCCAUGUGUCAACCCCUUUGUUCCUUGUUGACCCUAGCUUGUCUUGAUGCAACAUCAAGCAACAACAAAAUAUUACACCUGAUACGACAUCAAGCUAUACAGGAACUAUUAGACCACCCAAAUUAUUGAAGCUUCAGAAUUUGUGUCUGGGUCCAUGCCUAAUAAACUGGAAGAAAACCAAAAGAUACUUAUUGAUAUGAAUCAACUUGGUUAAGUAUGGUCAAAUACAAUGCACGGUGGAAUAUCUGCCCUAGAAAACAAAAGAAAAGGAGAUGGAAGAAAUCAUGCACUCAAUGGGUGGCUGUAAGUUCACGGGUAUCAAGACUUGGCUCACAUAUCAUUGAUCAUGGGUCUGUGUCAAUAUGGCUCUGGUGCCCAGUUUAUCACGGUGUUUUGUUAUUAUUUCCGAGAUAGUACUUUCUAUUAUAGUGUUGAGAUAAGCAAUUUAGAUGUUUUAAAUAUUCCCAGCUCUUUGGAUAAGAAGUAUUUCAGUAACUGAAUAAUCUUUGACCGUCCAAAAGAACUAUGAUGUUUCUUUGGGAAUAACAACAGAACAAAAAAUCCGAGAAUCAUGGCUGACCUAUGAGGCGCAGAUGUUGUCGAGGACCUAUAACCAUGCCUCCUAUCCUUUGCGCAACCUUGAAACCACGAGUAAUUACCUGGCAUUAUUUCAUUAUCUCAGCUGGUUUUAUGACUUCGAACAUAUGAGAGUAGUCUAACAUGUAAAAUAAUUCUUUCUCAGGUUCCAAAUAAGUCAACAGUAGGUCAAAAGUAGAGGUGAAACAUUGCCAGGCAGACAGACACACAACAAUAGCCGAUGAUUAUAGCUUAAGGUCCAAUGAGGAUAAUAUAAGUAGUGGAAAACGGAAUUUUGUAUCCACAUCCCUAUUGAUCAAGGAGUAAGUCAACAUGAUACAAGGAACGUACAACAACACCCGAGACAAUAUAAUUACAACACUGCAGAAAAAUUAGAGAUCCAUGUAAUCAAAUAUCUCUUUGUUAAAUUUUAGCUGAACAACUUAACUUAUAGAGUGUCGAUGGUUCAGAUCUUUUUCCUUUUAAUUAACAUGUGAGUUAUUAUAAAGUGGGUAAUUUCUUUUUGCGGUAUAUAAAGUGGGUAAUUCAUAUAGACUAAGACAUGGAAAAAGGGUGUAGGUGGUGCAAAUUCAUAGCAAGUUUUAUAUUGGAUGCACACAAACAACUGUGUGGACACACAAAAAGAAAACAAUCACUUUGAAAGUUUGAAUAGAAAUGUCUAAAUGAACAUCAGAUGGUCUAGUGUCUCCACUGAGAGCACUACAUGGACCCCUCAUUAACAAUUUAGCAAUGAAUAAACAAUUCUAGUAUUUAGACAUGAGAAUACCUUGUACAGAAUUUCAAAGCCAUAAAAAACGUUACCACUGGUUUGGGUAUCCUGGAAAUAAAACAGAGGUAAUAAAUUCCUUAUAACUAAUCAGGUGCACAUAGAAAAUUGAUUACCUCUGGUUUGAUCCCAUGUGCUCUAGCCAAAAAUAGAUCAAAUCGGCAGGAUAUCCUAUAAGGAAACAAAUCUAGCAAGGAAACUGAUUAUUAUUAUAUCUAAUUUCCAGCUACCAGUGGUAGGCGCAAAGUGGAACACUAUUACGCAGGACAACAAAUUUGGGCAGGAGGAAGUAUAAUGGUUAUGAAUGCCAGGCAAAGUGUUUUAAGUUCAUAACUAUGAGCAUGCAAAUAAUUUAUAUGAAGGGUCCCUUUUCUUCUGCAUAAGUCAGACAUACUUUAUGUAUGUGUAAUGUGUCAACCUGUACACAAAUACAAAAUAUAUAUUACAACGGAAAAUGCGUGAAUAUGAUGAUGAAUAUCUUAUUCUGAACUCUUUUGCAUCUUUUAUAAUGGACAGGGAUUGAGAUUCUAAUUUCGACACUACUGGAGAGUAUGUUGUGUGCAAAACGAAACUACAUGCAUUAAUCUACAUGAUUGUUCGUACCAACAGAGAAACAAUUUUGCAUCUAGUAGAUGUGUGUAUGUUUCAGGGUUACUUUCACAAUAUUUAGUUGCUAUAGAAAAAACACUUAAGGCUAGCAAAUAGAAUUAACCUAGUACAUAGAAAGUAGAGAACUGAUCGUUGCAGUAAAUUAUGAACUGAUAUCACACAUAAAACAGUAACAUACCCCAAAAUCUAUUCCUCGCAGCUCUCCACAAGUCUUCCUUCGCCCUCUUCUGCUCCACCAACCCCUGUUAUGAUUUCUCUCCCCUUAAAUCACUCUUCUUACUCCGCAUACCAUCU
rnacentral:lncRNA from 1 species